rfam:Callipepla squamata strain Texas jcf7180005228474, whole genome shotgun sequence.
GUGUUGUGUGGAAGGAGAGAUGGUUAGUGCUCCCCUUGAUAAGGAUGGAAGGAGGCCUUGCUGUCCUGCACAGCACACACAGUGGUUAAGGCACUGCUACUUAUUUCAUGGCAUCUAAACACGUUUUG